CCUACGGGUGGCAGCAGUGAGGAAUUUUGGUCAAUGGACGAGAGUCUGAACCAGCCAAGUAGCGUGAAGGAUGACUGCCCUAUGGGUUGUAAACUUCUUUUAUAAAGGAAUAAAACGAGGCACGUGUGCCUUUUUGCAUGUACUUUAUGAAUAAGGAUCGGCUAACUCCGUGCCAGCAGCCGCGGUAAGACGGAGGAUCCGAGCGUUAUCCGGAUUUAUUGGGUGUAAAGGGAGCGUAGAUGGGUUGUUAAGUCAGUUGUGAAAGUUUGCGGCUCAACCGUAAAAUUGCAAUUGAUACUGGCAGUCUUGAGUACAGUUGAGGGAGGCGGAAUUCGUGGUGUAGCAGUGAAAUGCUUAGAUAUCGCGAAGAACCCAGAUUGCGAAGGCAGGUUACUAAACUGUGACUGACAUUGAUGCUCGAAAGUGUGGGUAUCGAACAGGAUUAGAUACCCCUGUAGUC
rnacentral:rRNA from 1 species